CCUACGGGAGGCAGCAGUGGGGAAUUUUCCGCAAUGGGCGAAAGCCUGACGGAGCAAUACCGCGUGAGGGAAGAAUGCCUACGGGUUGUAAACCUCUUUUAUCAGGGAGGAACAAAAUGACGUGUACCUGAUGAAUAAGCAUCGGCUAACUCUGUGCCAGCAGCCGCGGUAAGACAGAGGAUGCAAGUGUUAUCCGGAAUUACUGGGCGUAAAGCGUCUGUAGGUUGUUGAACAAGUCAACUGUUAAAUCUUGAAGCUCAACUUCAAAAUCGCAGUCGAAACUGUUUGACUAGAGUAUAGUAGAGGUAAAGGGAAUUUCCAGUGGAGCGGUGAAAUGCGUAGAUAUUGGAAAGAACACCGAUGGCGAAAGCACUUUACUGGGCUAUUACUGACACUCAGAGACGACAGCUAGGGUAGCAAAUGGGAUUAGAUACCCCAGUAGUCCUAGCCGUAAACUAUGGAUACUAGAUGUUGAACAGAUCGACCUGUGCAGUAUUAAAGCUAACGCGUUAAGUAUCCCGCCUGGGAAGUAUGCUCGCAAGAGUGAAAACUCAAAAGGAAUUGACGGCNGAGAGNGCGACGACGACACGAGGAGAGG
rnacentral:rRNA from 1 species